rnacentral:rRNA from 1 species
GGAUUAGAUACCCUGGUAGUCCACGCCCUAAACGAUGAGUGCUAGAUGUAGGCUUUUUUGUCUGUAUCGCAGCUAACGCGUUAAGCACUCCGCCUGAGUACUACGGUCGCAAGACUAAAACUUAAAGGAAUUGACGGGGGCCCGCACAAGCGGUGGAGCAUGUGGUUUAAUUCGAUAAUCCGCGAAAAACCUUACCAGCCUUUGACAUGUAGACAGCGUCUCUCGUAAUGGAGAGAUUCGGUUCGGCCGGGUCUACACAGGUGGUGCAUGGCUGUCGUCAGCUCGUGCCG